UUCAAGAGUGUCCUGGUGUGAACUGUGAGUUGGAAAUUGAUGAUUGUGGAUCCCAGCCGUGUCUGUGUGGUACCACGUGACAGGAUGCUCUUGGGGCUUAUUUCUGUGACUGUGCUCCAGGAUUCCUUGGAGAGCACCGUGAACUCAACUUGAUGAAUGUGCCAAUCAGCCAUGUCUCCAUGGAGAUCUACGUGUGGAUGGAAGAAACAAACUACCACUGUGACUGCACAGGUAGUGGAUCUACAGGAACAUACUGUGAGACCUUGGUGCCUCUUUGUCGGUCAAAGCCUUGCCACAAAGAUACAACAUGUGAAGACACUGUUGACAGCUAUAUUUGUCACUGCUGGCCUGGAUCCUCGGUACCUUGUGUGAGAUGGACAUAAGUGAGUGCUGUAGCAACCUCUGACAAUUGUGUGUGUGUUGGUGGGGGGGGGGGGCUGUGUGCCAAGCUGUCCUCAGAAGACCCAUAUGGACACACUGCUGGCCUGCCUUCCUCCUUCAACUACCUUGGAACCUCAAGGUAUGCUUGUAUCUGUCAGCCGGGGUUCACA
rnacentral:lncRNA from 1 species